AAGGGGGAUAGUGAACAGCUGACCACUCGAAGGAUGGUUGUCUGCAACUACCUCCCAAAUUGGGAUAGAGAAUAAACAGAUUGCUUAAAAUGUGUCAAGUGGCAGGACUUUGUCACAAAACACCGGCUGAAAUUCUGACAGUCAGGGAAUCAGGUGAUGUACUCAAUAUGAGUAAAGGAUAAUAUGCCAUUUUCAAAGAACAGGAAGAUAAUCACACCAGGCUAUUUACCCAGGCUCUGAGGUUGACUGCUAUUGGGGCUAUAUCUUGCCCCUGCUUAAAGGGCCACCAUGGACUUAAAAAUUUCCCUUCUCUGAUUUUUUUUUUUAAAUCUACUACUGGUUCAAGUGUCUCCACUCAUCACUAUAACUGCAAGAAUUUUGUUUGUGUGUUUCUUUCAAACGGCAACAGGGUAUUUUGGAAAGAAAUAAUUUUGGCUGGAAUUAGAUGGACACCAGUCAAACUAUCUACUGUGAGUUCCUCAGCAGCGUUCUAAGAAAUAUUUAUCACCCAUAGCAAAAACUACAAACACCACAAAUUUUUCAAGGGGCAAACAAUGCAAGUUUUGGUGAUGUGCAUGUUCAGAAUGUGCACCACUGCCAUCUAUAGGAAUAUCAGGGAGCUACUUACAUGCCAGAUCUAAAGAGUGCAAAAGUCAAAUAAUAUCUUGCAACGUAGAUUAAGUCUGGCCAAAAAUACUCACAACUGCCAUUCUAGAGUAACACGUGUAGCCAUUUUUAAAGCUUCAAAGGCAAGUAACUAAAGCUACUUUUUUCUCUCAGGUGUUUCAGACAGUAAUAAGGGCCAUGUUCAAAAGACUAUUCUGUUCUAUCUAGAUAUUUUUAUGGUCAUCAUAUUAUCUAAGUGCUUCACAACUUUCCUGUGAGGUAGGAAUUAAGGCUGUUGAUUAAUCACAG